rnacentral:rRNA from 1 species
AGUGAACGCUGGCGGUAGGCCUAACACAUGAAAGUCGAACGGCAGCACAGUAAGAUCUUGCUCUUACGGGUGGCGAGUGGCGGACGGGUGAGGAAUACAUCGGUAUCUACUUUUUCGUGGUGGCUUACGUAGGGCAACUUACGCUAAUACCGCAUUCUACCUACGGGUGAAUGAAGGGGAUCUUCCGACCUUGCUCGCUUUUAUGAGCCGAUGUCGGAUUAGCUAGUUGGUAGGGUAACGGCCUACCAAGGCAACGAUGCGUAGCUGGCCUGAGAGGAUGAUCGGCCACACUGGAACUGAGACACGGUCCAGACUCCUACGGGAGGCAGCAGUAGGGAAUAUUGCGCAAUGGGCGAAAGCCUGACGGAGCAACACCGCGUGAGUGAUGAAGGUCUUCGGAUCGUAAAGCUCUGUUAUUAGGGAAGAACAAAUGUGGAAGUAAAUAUGGAUGUCUUGACGGUACCUAAUCAGAAAGCAACGGCUAACUACGUG